rnacentral:rRNA from 1 species
GACGAACGCUGGCGGCGUGCUUAACACAUGCAAGUCGAGCGGUAAGGCCCUUUCGGGGGUACGACGAGCGGCGAACGGGUGAGUAACACGUGGGUGACCUGCCCUCAGCUCUGGGAUAAGCCUGGGAAACCGGGUCUAAUAACCGGAUAUGACUCCAUGACGCAUGUUGUGGGGUGGAAAGCCUUGUGCGGCUGAGGAUGGGCCCGCGGCCUAUCAGCUUGUUGGUGGGGUGAUGGCCUACCAAGGCGACGAUCCGUAGCUGGUCUGAGAGGAUGAUCAGCCACACUGGGACUGAGACACGGCCCAGACUCCUACGGGAGGCAGCAGUGGGGAAUAUUGGACAAUGGGCGAAAGCCUGAUCCAGCCAUGCCGCGUGAGNGAAGAAGGCCUUAGGGUUGUAAAGCUCUUUCAGCGGGGAAGAUAAUGACGGUACCCCGCAGAAGAAGCCCCGGCUAACUUCGUGCCA